UAGGGAAUAUUGGACAAUGGGUGAGAGCCUGAUCCAGCCAUGCCGCGUGCAGGAAGAAGGCGUUAUGCGUUGUAAACUGCUUUUGCCAGGGGAUAAAAAGACCGUGCGCGGUUAAUUGAAGGUACCUGGUGAAUAAGCCACGGCUAACUACGUGCCAGCAGCCGCGGUAAUACGUAGGUGGCAAGCGUUGUCCGGAUUUAUUGGGUUUAAAGGGUGCGUAGGUGGCCCUGUAAGUCAGUGGUGAAAUAUCUCAGCUUAACUGAGAGGGUGCCAUUGAUACUGCAGGGCUUGAGUACAGAUGAGGUAGCGGAAUUGACGGUGUAGCGGUGAAAUGCAUAGAUAUCGUCAAGAACACCGAUAGCGAAGGCAGCUUACCAAGCUGUAACUGACACUGAGGCACGAAAGUGUGGGGAU
rnacentral:rRNA from 1 species